rnacentral:lncRNA from 10 species
GGGGGCGUGGGUGAGUGCGACGGAAAUCCCGCCUUCCGGCGCCCGCGCUUGACCCUGGCCUCAGAGGGUGAGCUCCAAGUGGGAAGAUAAGCGGGAUUGCGGGAAGCGGGAGAGCCGGGAGGACAGCGAAGCGCUCGUCUUCACCAUUGGCUGCGCCCGCGGAGCAGCCUCGUUGCGAUUGGCCGUAGGCGGAGGGGCGCGGGAGUGUCGCGUCCGCCCGCCGCUAGGGCAGUUAGAGGCGCGGGGAUCCGGGCUGAGCCGGCGGCUGCUGGGAGGCUGUGUCCGGACGCCGGCGGGGCCACGCGGCCCGGCCCUGCUUGCCUGAGAACCGGGAGGACGCUGGAGAAAAGCUGCCCUCUGAAUCUUUGUUUGGCUACCCAGGCUCGCCUUGACUCCAAAUGUUCCGUUGAAAACAGAUACACAGGUGGGGUUUGGCAUGUCUUUUUCUUGGCGUGUUUCUGCUUCCAUGUUUAAAUUUCUCGUGUAAGGCUGUUUUUUUUAGGGCAUGUAAGGGGAAGUUAGUUGUAUCUUCCUCUGUUAGAGGAGCAGGUUUAUUCCUCCU